GACGAACGCUGGCGGCGUGCCUAAUACAUGCAAGUUGAGCGCUGAAGGUUGGUACUUGUACCAACUGGAUGAGCAGCGAACGGGUGAGUAACGCGUGGGGAAUCUGCCUUUGAGCGGGGGACAACAUUUGGAAACGAAUGCUAAUACCGCAUAAAAACUUUAAACACAAGUUUUAAGUUUGAAAGAUGCAAUUGCAUCACUCAAAGAUGAUCCCGCGUUGUAUUAGCUAGUUGGUGAGGUAAAGGCUCACCAAGGCGAUGAUACAUAGCCGACCUGAGAGGGUGAUCGGCCACAUUGGGACUGAGACACGGCCCAAACUCCUACGGGAGGCAGCCGUAGGGGAUCUUCGGCCAUGGACGAAAGUCUGACCGAGCAACGCCGCGUGAGUGAAGAAGGUUUUCGGAUCGUAAAACUCUGUUGGUAGAGAAGAACGUUGGUGAGAGUGGAAAGCUCAUCAAGUGACGGUAACUACCCAGAAAGGGACGGCUAACUACGUG
rnacentral:rRNA from 1 species